rnacentral:rRNA from 1 species
AGCUCCAAAAGCGUAUAUUAAAGUUGUUGCAGUUAAAAAGCUCGUAGUUGAACUUUGGGUGUGUGCCGCCGGUCCACUUCGGUGCGUACUGACCGGCACGCACCUUUCCUUCUGGUUUUCGGACCAGGACGUUUACUUUGAAAAAAUUAGAGUGUUCAAAGCAGGCAUAUUGCUCGAAUAUAUUAGCAUGGAAUAAGGGAAUAGGACAAUGGUUCUAUUUCGUUGGUUUUCAGUACCAUUGUAAUGAUUAAUAGGGACGGACGGGGGCAUCAGUAUUCCGUAGUCAGAGGUGAAAUUCUUGGAUUUACGGAAGACUAACUACUGCGAAAGCAUUUGCCAAGCACGUUUUCA